UACGUAGGGUGCAAGCGUUAACCGGAAUUACUGGGCGUAAAGCGUGCGCAGGCGGUUUUGUAAGUCUGUCGUGAAAGCCCCGGGCUCAACCUGGGAAUUGCGAUGGAGACUGCAAGGCUUGAAUCUGGCAGAGGGGGAUAGAAUUCCACGUGUAGCAGUGAAAUGCGUAGAGAUGUGGAUGAACACCGAUGGCGAAGGCAGCCCCCUGGGUCAAGAUUGACGCUCAUGCACAAAAGCGUGGGGAGCAAACAGG
rnacentral:rRNA from 1 species